rnacentral:tRNA from 1 species
UGUAUUUUAGUGAAAAUAUCACAUUAAAUUUUGAAUUUUUUAUUAAUAAUUUUUUAAUUAUUAAAUACAA